rnacentral:rRNA from 1 species
UAAUGAGGGAAGGAAAAGAAACUAACUAGGAUUUUCUUAGUAGCGGCGAGCGAAAAGAAAUCAGUUCAGCACUGAGUUAUUUUGUUAUAUUAACAAAUAUAAGAUGCAGUGUAUGGAAUAUCUAUAAUCUAGUAUAAUAAAUUAACAGUCCAAGUCCUUCUUAAAUGAGGCCAUUUACCCAUAGAGGGUGCCAGGCCCGUAGUGACGUUAAUAAUAAACUAGAAGAUAUUUCCUAAGAGUCGUGUUGCUUGAUAGUGCAGCACUAAUUGGGUGGUAAACUCCAUCUAAAACUAAAUAUAACCAUGAGACCGAUAGCAAACAAGUACCGUGAGGGAAAGUUGAAAAGAACUCUGAAUAGAGAGUUAAAUAGUACGUGAAACUGCUUAGAGGUUAAGCCCGAUGAACCUGAAUAUCCAAUAUGAAAAAUUCAUCAUUAAUAGUACAUUAAUAAUGUUUUAAUGUAUGAAUAAUGUGCAAUUUUUUCAUAUAAGGACAUUGUAAUCUGUUAAUAUAUAAUAAAAAUUUAUCAUAAGUACUGCUUGGAUCAGUUUAUAUGUUAUUAUAAAUUUUUUUUAUAAUAUAUAUAAAAUCCAAUUUAAAUGCGGUUACGGAUAAAUUAUUGACAGAUUUUUUAUAUAUAACGCUUACAUAUUUAUAUGUUAUAAUAAAAUAAUAAUUAUAUAUUAUUAUUUUUAUUAUAUGCGUUUAUAUGAUUAACAAUGCUAUAGAUUUAGGAUACCUUCGGGACCCGUCUUGAAACACGGACCAAGGAGUCUAACAUGUGUGCAAGUCAUUGGGUAUUUUAAAAACCUAAAGGCGUAAUUAACUUAACUGUUUUUAUAAAUGGGAUCAAUUAUAUUAUAUUUAAUAAAUAUAUAUAUUCCAUCCCGGGGCGUUCUAUAUAGUUAUGUAUUUUAAUAUAUUUUUUAUAUAUUAUAUAUACCUCUAACUAGAGCGUACCUUGAGCAUACAUGCUGUGACCCGAAAGAUGGUGAACUAUACCUGAUCAGGUUGAAGUCAGGGGAAACCCUGAUGGAAGACCGAAACAGUUCUGACGUGCAAAUCGAUUGUCAGAAUUGGGUAUAGGGGCGAAAGACCAAUCGAACCAUCUAGUAGCUGGUUCCCUCCGAAGUUUCCCUCAGGAUAGCUGGUGCAUUUAAAUAUUAUGUGAAAUAAUCUUAUCUGGUAAAGCGAAUGAUUAGAGGCAUUAGGGCCGAAACGACCUUAACCUAUUCUCAAACUUUAAAUGGGUAAGAACCUCACCUUUCUUGAUAUGAAGGUUGAGGUUGUGAUAUAUUGUGCCCAGUGGGCCACUUUUGGUAAGCAGAACUGGCGCUGUGGGAUGAACCAAACGUGAUGUUACGGCGCCCAAAUUAACAACUCAUACUGAUACCAUGAAAGGCGUUGCUUGCUUAAAACAGCAGGACGGUGGACAUGGAAGUCGUAAUCCGCUAAGGAGUGUGUAACAACUCACCUGCCGAAGCAACUAGCCCUUAAAAUGGAUGGCGCUCAAGUUGUAUGCCUAUACAUCACCGCUAAAAUAAAUGAUUUAUAAAAGACAUUUUUUUUAUAGAAUUAGAAAUUUUAGUGAGUAGGAGGGUACAAUGGUGUGCGUAGAAGUGUUUGGCGUAAGCCUGCAUGGAGCCGCUAUUGGUACAGAUCUUGGUGGUAGUAGCAAAUAAUCGAAUGAGACCUUGGAGGACUGAAGUGGAGAAGGGUUUCGUGUGAACAGUGGUUGAUCACGAGUUAGUCGGUCCUAAGUUCAAGGCGAAAGCCGAAAAAUUCUAAGUUAUAUUAAUUAAUUUAAUUUAAUAAUAUACUUAAAUUUUUGAACGAAAGGGAAUACGGUUCCAAUUCCGUAACCUGUUGAGUAUACGUUUGUUAUUAAAAAUGGGCUUUUAUGCUCAUCCUGGCAACAGAAACAACCAUAAAGAAGCCGUCGAGAAAUAUCGAAAGAGUUUUCUUUUCUGUUUCAUAGUCGUACUACCAUGGAAGUCUUUCGAAGAGAGAUAUGGUAGAUGGACUAGAAGAGCAUGGCAUUUACUGCUGUGUCGAUAUUUUCUCCUCGGACCUUGAAAAUUUAUGGUGGGGUCACGCAAACUUCUUAACAGGCCGUACCGAUAUCCGCAGCUGGUCUCCAAGGGGAAGAGUCUUAGUCGAUAGAAUA